rnacentral:rRNA from 1 species
AAUCAACGCUGGCGGCGUGCCUAACACAUGCAAGUCGAACGCGAAAGCCCUUUCGGGGGUAAGUAGAGUGGCGUCCGGGUGAGUAACACGUAGGUAAUCUACCUUCGGGUGGGGAAUAACUCGCCGAAAGGCGAGCUAAUACCGCAUAAUGCAGCGGCACCUAAUGGUGAUUAGUUGUUAAAGCGGGGGAUCGUAAGACCUCGCGCCUGAAGAGGAGCCUGCGGCAGAUUAGCAGUUGGUGAGGUAAUGGCUCACCAAGGCUUCGAUCUGUAGCUGGUCUGAGAGGACGGCCAGCCACACUGGCACUGACACACGGGCCAGACUCCUACGGGAGGCAGCAGUGGGGAAUUUUGGGCAAUGGGCGCAAGCCUGACCCAGCAACGCCGCGUGAGGGAGGAAAUCC